rnacentral:misc_RNA from 2 species
AACGCACAUGGCGCCUUCCAGUAUCCUGGGAGGCAUGCCUGUCCGAGCGUCGUUUCAACCCUCGAGCCCCCGUGGCCCGGCGUUGGGGAUCUGCCCAGGCAGUCCCCGAAAACCAGUGGCGGACCCGUCGGGCCCUUCCUUUGCGUAGUAAUAUCUGCCUCGCAUCGGGAGCCCUCGGGCUAUCCGGCCUCUAAACCCCCCUCAAGCCCGCUCCGGCGGCACCAAGGUUGACCUCGGAUCAGGUAGGAAUACCCGCUGAACUUAA